CACUGUCUAAACAUUUCUUAUCCAACAGGUUUUCAGAAAUGGGCUAAAUGUAGGUAAAGAGGCUAAGAAGGCCUGCUUGCACUCUACUCUUGGGAGAAGAAUUCACAUCUCUAUUGCUAAUCUCCCCGUAGCUGCAGAUUUCUCACUGUUUUGCCAAUUGUCUCCCAAGACCUAGAAUCCUCAUUUCUGGGAGGUGGGCCUCUGCUCCCCAGGUGCCAGCUGCUUCUGCCUGGGUCUCCUGGCAUAGCCUGCUCUUGUGUUCUGCUCAUUCUUUCCCCUUCCAAAUGGUUCUCCUUUGAAGCUGUGCAUGCCUAGGCAGAAGUCCCUUUCUUUAGUCAAGCAAGUACAAGUAUGCAUUCUGUCUGUUCCCAACAUUCUCUUUCAAUAUGGUCCUUCCAUGGAUCAGGACAUGCUGUGCUGUGCCUUGGAUCUCCCUGAUGCUCAGUGCUCUACUGACUCACCACCUGUUGUCAGUUGCCAUUCCUUCAGAAUGCAGUUCUGCACAUGGGACAGAACUCCCUUGAAGCUCCUACAGCUGGGCCUGUCCUCCCAAGGUCAUUCCUUGCAGGUGAUCCUUCUGAUUACACAUCCCUCCAUGCCCAGCUGUUCUGCACCACCAGAGAGUAGAGUAAUGCCUAAUCAGCCUCAGACAUACACCGGGCUACCUCUUUAGGGGACUUUCUUGCGUCUGCUGUCCUUGAUUGGUCCAUUUUAACCUGACCCGUGUAAUGUGAAAUGUUGGCUAGACAAACAGGGUAACGUGGGCAAUGUGAUAAGAUGGGACUUAGACCUUCUUUUUUUGAAAUAAUAACUUAUAUGCAAUGCACUUCAUCCGUUCAAUGACCCCAGUUGUAG
rnacentral:lncRNA from 1 species